CACUAUCCCAGGGUUCUCCAAGCUCCUUCCAGCCUGGCCUUGGACGCUUCCAGAGAUCCAGGGGCAGCCACAGCUUCUCUGGGCAAACUCUUCCAAGAGCUGUAUCCAAAAAGAUCACUGAUGUCGGAAUCUGUGGGUAUUGGUGAUUCCGAGAUUGUAGAAAGUCUCUGUCUUUCUGCCCCGUUGCCAAAGAAGAAGCCAUAAUUGGUCUGUGCUGUUUCAAGGUUGUUUAUUCUGUUUAUCUCUAACAUGUUCUGCUGCCCUGCCGCAGCUCUGUCCUGCAGGGCAGCGUGUGGGGCUCUGCCCCUCAGUGGGAUGGUACAAACAUUAAAUACCAGAAAUUACGUGUGCUAUAUUUACAAUAAUGUGCCAAUAUCUGUCACCUACGUUAAACAGCGUGUCCCCAGCCUAAACCAACAGAAAAAUGCCAACACUGCAGUGAAACAUGGAGGGCAUGAAGAAGGAGAAAAAGGACAAGACACACCCAAUUUCCUCCAUCUUGUUCCCUCUGAACCCCUAAUCUAGAAACCCAAAAUUUUACUUCUGCACCCGUGCCACACUUAAUUAUUACUCUUAUCAAACACUCAAAGCUUGUAAUUCGUCCUGUAAGAUUGAAAACUCUUUUCCAUGGACAGAGAUCACAGACAGUGUCUCUGGGGGCUCUGUCCAGGGGGGUUCCUGACCCCUGCCAGGGUCCCAGACCUGCCAGGGCAGCCAGAGGGAAUCCCUGGAUUCCCACAACUGAGAUGUCUGCGUGCACUUUGCAGGUGAAUCCCUCACUUGGGCAAGGAGGUGAGCUCUUCUCCGCUGACUCUUGCAGGGAAAUGUUCCCCAAAAGAGACCAUAAAGACUGCCUAUGUUACUGCAGGCUAGAGAAACCCGUAAAACGGUGACACACAGCUGAAGGGGAAGAAUAUUUCGGGAAGGGAAUCAUAUGGACAGGCUGGUAAACGCAGGGCUUUGAAAGGGGAUGGGGCGGGACAGGAAGAACAUUCCUUCCCCGCUACGAACGCCUCGGGGAGCAUCCGCCGGGGCCGGCCGCGCUGCUCCUGGUGCUCCUGAUGAGCUGCAUCAGCUCAUCCCAGCCCACCACCACGGAUGGAGAGCCAUGAGGUGCCCGGAAAGAGGCGGCCUGAGCCCCAGAUGCUCCGGCUGGAGGUCGCCACCAGUGUCGGGCGCGGUGGCCGCAGGCAGCGGGGUCACCUCGGCCUGUGGGCACCGCCGGGCUGCGCGCACGGAGGCUGAGGGAGAGCGGAGCGUGGUGCUGCAGCGUCGGAAUCUGAGACCAUGGUGUCCAAAUCAGCCCUUGUCCUGGUUGUGCUGCUCCUCUUCCACUUCCCACAUCCCAUGGUGAAUUGGUUCCAUGAGGAUGUGCAGCACCGUGUGGAGGAGCGGAAACAAUCCCCCCCCAGAGGCACCUGAGCCUGGCAGGGGACCCCAGCUCCUAGGGGACCCCAGCUCCUGGCUGCCUUGCAGCAGCUGCAGAGCUUCUGGGGAAUUGCUCAGCUGCUGUUCCUGCCUUUGGAGCUGUGGCUAAGGCACAGAAGGGCAGCCAAGAGGCAGAGAGCAGCGGCCCGGAGAGCUGAAGAAGAGGCAAGAAGGAGGAAGAUGGAAAUCGAGCGGAGAAUGCGGCUUCUUGAGAAGAGAUACAGUGACAUGGAACAAAUGCGCAGGGCCGUGAAAGAAAUAAAAAGCAAAUGGCCAGGCUGAUUUGAAUGAAUAGGGAUACAAACUGGAUGGUGAAGGUAGGCUUGGCAGGCUUUGGAGGAGCAUAGGCAGCAGCCUGUGUGAAGGAAAGCUUCCUGCUGGAGAUGCUCUUUGGGCUGGCCAAGGCGAGCCACACAUCUUUGUGAGCAGCCAGCCCACAGAGCUGCGCUUGCUGCCGAGCACAGCCUGUGCUGGGGCAGAGGCUCAGGGCUCCUGCCAGACCCUGCCCCCCUUCCCUCUAUCUCUUCAUUGUUAUAUUAAUAUAUUAUUCUAUAUUAACUGCAUCUGUUAAUGAUUUUCCCUGCUGCAACAUUGCACUUGCUCCUGGAUGGAGGUGUUUGAAGGAGGAUUGGGCCAGAUUGAUGGGCACUGAUUUAACUUCUUGUUUAGUUAAGAAAUAAUUUGGGUAUUUUAUUAUUUUCUCCUAGAAUUACUUUAUUUUAUAGUAAUACUAUUGUUAAUUAUAGUAGUAAUUAUAACAGGAACAAAUACUAAUCCUGUGAAAACAAUUUUACAUUCUACCAUAUAGUAAUUAUCAUUCAUAGUAAUAAUUUCUGCGAAUUAUGUGAAUAAACCACAAUUGAAGGAUGUUAAAUUUUUACCAUACCGAGUAAUUUUUCAUAAUCUUCAGUAUUCAAAAAACCUUGUCAUUGUAUAAAUUCAUAUAUAAUUUAUAACAGUGCAGAAAGUAAUUCUUAACAUAAGGAUGAUUAUAACUGUGAUUUGUUAUUGAAAAUGUUUAAAAUAUGUGAUAUUUUUUUCAAAGUGAUGCUGCCUGCCUUCCCUUCUUUGGGAACCCUUUUCCCUCUGGGAGCUGCAGUCAGUGCAAAGUUCCAAUAAAGAUGGUGCUUGAACAAACAGUGUAUCUGUGAGCGUCCAGAGUGACCUCCAAGGCCAUCCAGUUCUAUUGUAAAUGCAGGUGAACCCAAUGGGAAGAAUGAUAAUGUCUG
rnacentral:lncRNA from 1 species